rnacentral:rRNA from 2 species
UGCGCAGGCGGCUUCUCAAGUCAGGGGUGAAAGCCCAGAGCUCAACUCUGGAAUUGCCUUUGAGACUGAGAGGCUUGAGUACGGGAGAGGUGAGUGGAAUUCCCAGUGUAGAGGUGAAAUUCGUAGAUAUUGGGAAGAACACCGGUGGCGAAGGCGGCUCACUGGCCCGAAACUGACGCUCAUGCACGACAGCGUGGGGAUCAAACAGGAUUAGAUACCCUGGUAGUCCACGCCGUAAACUAUGAACGCUAGCCGUUGGCAGGCUUGCCUGUCAGUGGCGCAGCUAACGCAUUAAGCGUUCCGCCUGGGGAGUACGGCCGCAAGGUUGAA